UGCCUAAACCAUUGUAAAUUCUUAGACCUUAUAUAAUGUAAUGUCUUGAUAUUAUAGCACUUGCCAAAGGUCCUUGCUCCCAACCUUUUUCACUUCGAGUCUCCAUUUUACAACUGUUCUUCCUACUUCGUUGAAGGCCCUUCCCAGUCUUUUUUGCAAACUUCUCUUUUUCAUCCUCAUCUUUUGAUGUUAAAGAGGCCCAGCCUCCCAAAUUUAUAUCUCCAGCCUUAGCAUCCCCACAGAGUCCCACAGCCAUUUCAGGAUGUCUAAUAUUCUCAGGCUUAACAUGGUCUCCUCU
rnacentral:lncRNA from 1 species